GACGAACGCUGGCGGCGCGCUUAACACAUGCAAGUCGAACGGAAAGGCCUGCUUUCCCUUGUGGAUUGCGGGUACUCGAGUGGCGAGCGGGUGAGUAACACGUGAGUGAUCUGCCCCCAACUUGGGUAUAAGCCUGGGAAACUGGGUCUAAUUCCCGAUAGGACUGCAGGGUGGUGCCUGUGGUGGAAAACGAUUUUCUAGUGGUUGGGGAUGAGCUCGCGGCCUAUCAGCUUGUUGGUGGGGUAGUGGCCUACCAAGGCGGCGACGGGUAGCCGGCCUGAGAGGGUGGACGGCCACAGUGGGACUGGGAUACGGCCCAGACUCCUACGGGAGGCAGCAGUGGGGAAUAUUGCACAAUGGGCGGAAGCCUGAUGCAGCGACGCCGCGUGGGGGAUGACGGCCUUCGGGUUGUAAACUCCUUUCGACCGCGAGGAAGCCACCUGGUUGGAAGGGUGGUGACGGUAGUGGUAGAAGAAGCACCGGCUAACUACGUG
rnacentral:rRNA from 1 species